rnacentral:rRNA from 1 species
CAGCAUGGGGGAAUAUUGCACAAUGGGCGCAAGCCUGAUGCAGCCAUGCCGCGUGUAUGAAGUAAGGCCUUCGGGUUGUAAAGUACUUUCAGCAGUGAGGAAGGUGGGUAUGUUAAUAGCAUAUUCAUUUGACGUUAGCUGCAGAAGAAGCACCGGCUAACUCCGUGCCAGCAGCCGCGGUAAUACGGAGGGUGCGAGCGUUAAUCGGAAUUACUGGGCGUAAAGCGCAUGCAGGUGGUUUGUUAAGUCAGAUGUGAAAGCCCGGGGCUCAACCUCGGAAUUGCAUUUGAAACUGGCAAACUAGAGUACUGUAGAGGGGGUAGAAUUUCAGGUGUAGCGGUGAAAUGCGUAGAGAUCUGAAGGAAUACCGGUGGCGAAGGCGGCCCCCCUGGACAGAUACUGACACUCAGAUGCGAAAGCGUGGGGAGCAAACCAGGAUUAGAUACCCCUGGUAG